rnacentral:lncRNA from 1 species
AGACAAAGCAACAAGAAACAAUUGGUCUUUACUUUACAUACAUCAUCUCAAGUCUUCUCCCUGAUGUGGUAUAUUUCUAGCAUCCCAUCUCGGUCCUCGUUCAGGCCGUGCUGGCCACCUUCUGUGUAAUGCUGACCCCUUCAUGAGCGAACCAAAGUUUCAUGAAGUUAGCCACAUACUUGUAUGGUCACGCAACAAAGAGAGAAAACUAACAUCGGGUCAUGCUUAUUCUUCUUCUUCAGGUGAAGCCGGUGCUGAAGAGGGUGAAGUUCACCCUGGUGGGUCUGGCGGUGUCGCUGACCCUCUGCAUCCUCCUCUACGCCAACACGGAGAAGCCGAGGGAGCCGCUGGAGAAC